rnacentral:rRNA from 1 species
AUUGAACGCUGGCGGCAUGCUUUACACAUGCAAGUCGAGCGGCAGCGCGGGGCAACCUGGCGGCGAGCGGCGGACGGGUGAGUAACACGUAGGAAUCUACCUAGUAGUGGGGGAUAGCCCGGGGAAACUCGGAUUAAUACCGCAUACGCUCUACGGAGGAAAGGGGGCUUCGGCUCUCGCUAUUAGAUGAGCCUGCGUCGGAUUAGCUAGUUGGAAGGGUAAAGGCCUACCAAGGCUACGAUCCGUAACUGGUCUGAGAGGAUGAUCAGUCACACUGGAACUGAGACACGGUCCAGACUCCUACGGGAGGCAGCAGUGGGGAAUAUUGGACAAUGGGGGAAACCCUGAUCCAGCCACGCCGCGUGUGUGAAGAAGGCCUCGGUUGUAAG